AACGUAGGUCACAAGCGUUGUCCGGAAUUACUGGGUGUAAAGGGAGCGCAGGCGGGAAGACAAGUUGGAAGUGAAAUCUAUGGGCUCAACCCAUAAACUGCUUUCAAAACUGUUUUUCUUGAGUAGUGCAGAGGUAGGCGGAAUUCCCGGUGUAGCGGUGGAAUGCGUAGAUAUCGGGAGGAACACCAGUGGCGAAGGCGGCCUACUGGGCACCAACUGACGCUGAGGCUCGAAAGUGUGGGUAGCAAACAGGAUUAGAUACCCUGGUAGUGGCGACUGACU
rnacentral:rRNA from 1 species